rnacentral:rRNA from 1 species
UACGGGGGGGGCAAGCGUUGUUCGGAAUUACUGGGCGUAAAGGGCUCGUAGGCGGCCAACUAAGUCAGACGUGAAAUCCCCCGGCUUAACCUGGGAACUGCGUCUGAUACUGGAAGGCUUGAGUAUGGGAGAGGGAUGUAGAAUUCCAGGUGUAGCGGUGAAAUGCGUAGAUAUCUGGAGGAAUACCGGUGGCGAAGGCGGCAUCCUGGACCAUUACUGACGCUGAGGCGCGAAAGCUAGGGGAGCAAACGGGG